rnacentral:rRNA from 1 species
AAUCUUUAUAAAUGGCGUUAAAGCUUAUUUAUAGUAAACACAAAAAAUUUUAGGAGAAUAAUUUUAUGUUGUAAUAUUUUAUAGAGGAAUUCUAUUAAUUUAGAAGUUAUAAUGUUGAAAUUAGUAGAGUUAUAGAGGUUAUCUUUUGUGUAUUAAUCAAUCCUAACAUUGGAUGGGGCAAAAUAUUUGUAAAUCAAGAAAUUAAUUUGUACUGUUGUCUGCUAACACAAGUGAUAAGAUUUUUAUUUUAAAUAAGGGAAAGGAACUCGGCAAAUUUAGAUUUNNNNNNNNNNNNNNNNNNNNCGCUCUUUGUAAAGAAUCUAAUAUAUAAAGAGUCCUGCCUGCCCAGUGACUGGUUUAGUUUAACGGCCGCGGUAUAUUGACCGUGCAAAGGUAGCAUAAUCAUUUGCCUCUUAAAUUGGGGCUGGAAUGAAUGGCAAGACGGGAAUUAAGCUGUCUCUCUCUUAUAGUUUGAAGUUAAUAUUUUUGUGAAGAAACAGAAAUAUGAUCGUAGGACGAGAAGACCCUGUCGAGCUUUAAUAUAUGAGGAUGUAAUAUAUUGACUAUUGUUGCGUGCUAAUUGUUUUUUAGUAAUUAAUUAUAAAGUUACUGUCUCUGACAGUGGUGUUGUGCAUAUUAUGUUUGGGUUGGGGCAAUCGCGGAGAAUAAUUAUCCUCCGCUAUUUUUUUUAAAAAAAAUCUUUUUAGAUUUGAGUAUUCAAAUUGAAGUGAUCCACUUAUAUAAGUGAUUAAAAGAAUAAGUUACCGCAGGGAUAACAGCGUAAUUUUUUUGGAGAGUUCAUAUUGAUAAAAAAGUUUGCGACCUCGAUGUUGGAUCGGGAUUUCCUGGGGAUGUAGCAGUUCCUGAGGGUUGGUCUGUUCGACCAUUAAAAUCCU